CCCGCACAAGCGGUGGAGCAUGUGGUUUAAUUCGACGCAACGCGAAGAACCUUACCUGGUCUUGACAUCCACAGAACUUUCCAGAGAUGGAUUGGUGCCUUCGGGAACUGUGAGACAGGUGCUGCAUGGCUGUCGUCAGCUCGUGUUGUGAAAUGUUGGGUUAAGUCCCGCAACGAGCGCAACCCUUAUCCUUUGUUGCCAGCGGUCCGGCCGGGAACUCAAAGGAGACUGCCAGUGAUAAACUGGAGGAAGGUGGGAUGACGUCAAGUCAUCAUGGCCCUUACGACCAGGGCUACACACGUGCUACAAUGGCGCAUACAAAGAGAAGCGACCUCGCGAGAGCAAGCGGACCUCAUAAAGUGCGUCGUAGUCCGGAUUGGAGUCUGCAACUCGACUCCAUGAAGUCGGAAUCGCUAGUAAUCGUGGAUCAGAAUGCCACGGUGAAUACGUUCCCGGGCCUU
rnacentral:rRNA from 1 species